UAUUAUUUGGUGUUUUUAAUAAUUAUUUUCUUAAUUUAGUCAUUUUUGACGUUUAUUGAGAUUUUCGCGUUUUGGGACGAUUUAGUCGGUAUUAGUUCGGGAUAGCGGAUCGAUAUUUAAUCGAAAAUUUUAAUAUUUUUAGUAUUAAAAGUAUUAAUUAGUUAAUAUUUAGCGUUUUGAGAAUUUUCUAAGUAAUUAAGAUUAGACCGGAAAUAUAAGACAUUGAGUUAUUAGAGGAUUUUAUCCGUAUUUAUUUUAUUAUAUUAUUUUAUUUUAUUUGGUGUGUUAAUUAUUUAUUUAAUUGUUAUGUGAUAUAAUAAUUAAUUUAAUUAAUUAACUUGUGUGUAUUUGUGUUUAAUUAGUAGUAGAAUAAAUGAGAUAACAGUUAUUGGGCCUAAUUAGUUAGAAUGUGAGAUUAGUUGGGUUAAGCCCAAUAAGAAUAAAGAUAUUGAGGGUUUAGAGAAUAGAAACAUUAUUUUCAUUUUGUUCUUUGGCAAGAGUAGAGAAAGAGGGGAAGAGGAGCAAAAGAGGAGCAAAAGAGGGAGCUAUGGUUUUGAAGAAAUUAUCAAGAGGUUCUGGAGUUUAGUAGCUCGUGUGUGAUCUAGUCGGAGAUUCUUCCGUGUUUGUUGGAGAUUAGGUAGUGAGUCGAUGCUCUGGUCAUGUAACACUGGGUAGAUUAGUCGUGUUGAACUCAUGUUUCUAUUUGGUUAUGUAUUAUGUUUAUGACUUGAGAACUUGUUAUUUGGCUACUUGUUGUUUGAGAGGUUUUCCAGCCAAAUAUUCUGAAUUAUGUUUUUAAUUUAUAUUGAUAUGAUUAUUGAGACUUGAUCAUGGUAUGAGACAUGGAUCAUUUUAUGAAACACAUGAGUAUUUAGUAGUUUCCGCUGUGAAUGCAUAUUCUGGAUAAAAUAUGAUUAACUGAGAAGUGUUAUUUGAAAUGACCAGGUGUAUCAUAUAUUGUAAGUAAAUGCUGUCGGUUUUUAAAGGUUUUUAGUUUUUGAAAACAUCGAUGUGACGCCCUUUUAUUAUAUGCAUGCUUAUUCUCUGAUUAUAUGCUUAUUUAUUUUGGGGUAUAAAAUGGGUGUUACAUUAGUGGUAUCAGAGCAUGGUCGACCAGUUGGUCAAUAGUCGAUAAUGUUUUCUAAUCAUGUUGUAUUUGAUUCGUGUAUCUGACACGAUCAAUACUGUUUGUCUGGUUAUUUGGCUGUUUAGGACGACGGUUGCAAGAAGGAAUGAUGACAUUAAUGUCGGAGCAGUAACGAGGUGGAUUGGUGCCAUUGGACAAGCAUCGCACGAGAGUGCAGGUAAUGGAGGAGAGGAUGAGUUACGUGCUUUUGGAGACUUUCAAAGGUGCAAUCUGCCGAGCUUUGAAGGAAAGUAUGGACCGGACAAAGCACAUGCAUGGAUGAGAGAAGUGGAGAAGAUCUUUCAAGUCAUGAGUUGUACUGAUGUACAGAAGGUACGGUUUGAUACUCACAUGCUGACGGAAGGAGCUGAGGAUUGGUGGUCUGUGGGAAACCGUAUGAUGACGUGAGGAAACAAUCUGGUUUUAGCAAGAAGCCAAGUGGGGAGGAGCUUCUACUCCGAUUAAGUGCUACAGGUGUGGCGAUACGGGUCACAAAACUGUUGAUUGUGGAAUUGGUUUGAGUAGGAUUUGCUACAGUUGUGGUGAGCAAGGACACAAUUGUGCCAUGUGUGACAAGCCAAAGAAGGAGCAAGCGAAAGGAAAAGUGUUUGCUUUGUCUGGUGCUGAGACCACUGCUAAGGAGAAGCUAAUUUGAGGUACGUGCUUUAUUAUUGAUAAUGGUGCAACACAUACUUCCAUUCUUUGGAUUGUGCUAUGAGAUUGGUUCUUGUUUUAUCUGUUACGCAUAGAAGUAUGGUUAUUGAUACUCUUGCUAUGAGUUUUGUUCUACUUAAUUGUGUGUUGAAUUAUCCGUUGAGCAUUUUUGGUAGAGAUUUUGGAAUUGACUUAGUUUGUCUCCGUGAGUUCAAUUUGAUGAGAAUGUUGAUAUGAGUUGUUUGGAGUUAAAUCGAGUAAUUGUAACCUCAAGAGAGAUUUUGGGUCUCGGUAGUUUAGGAGGUUUAGAAUACAAGAUAUGAAGGAACGAUAUUGUAGUUUAGUAAUGGAGGUUUAUGUUUCAUUAUGAUUGUCGACUGUCUAUUGACAAAUUGAGGACUUGAUCACCCUUAAUCUAUUGUUGAUAGAAGACGAGAUCGUAUUGGACGAGAUAGACUUUUCUUACUAACUUGGUAGUGUGUAAAACGACUAGGAAGAAGUUGAAGGGUCAAGUUGAGGAGUUAUAUGAGAAGAGGUUCAUUCGUCUAGAUGUGUAGCCGUAGGGUUGCGCUUGUUUUGUUGAUUAAGAAGAAAGAAGGUUCCUUGAGGUAACAUUUCUGGAGGAUUUAAUUCUAAGAGUAAAGAUGAUCAUGUUGAACAUGUAAGGAUUGUGUUAUCGGUGUUGAAAGAGAAGAAGUUAUGUGCUCAGUUUUCUAAGUAUGAGUUUAGUGAAGGAAGUGAGUUUCCCUGGAUAUGUGAUUUUGAGCUGAGGUGUGUUGAUGCGGAAUCGACAAGUGGUGACUUAUGCUUCAAGGCAACUGAGAAUUCGUGAGAGGAAUUAUUCGACGUAUGAAUGAGAGUUAUCCUCCGUUGUGUUUGUUUUGAAACUUAAGAGGUAUUAUUGUUUGGAUCGAGAUUUGAGGUGUGUAGUGACUACAAGAAUUGAAUAUGAGGAAAAAAAAAGGCGAGUGGAAUUUUGAAGGAUUAUGAUUUUGGGUUGAAUUACCAUCCUGGAAAAGCGAAUGUUGUAACUGAUGCAUUGAGCAGGAAAUCAUUGCAUAUGUCUAUGUCAAUGAUUCGAGAAUUAAAGAUGUUGGAACAAUUUAGAGACUUGAGUUUGGUUUGUGAGACGAAGUCUUCGUGUAUUAAGUUUGGUAUGUUGAAGCUUACUUGUGGUAUUCUUGAUGAGGUUAGAGAGGGUCAAAAAUUGGAUUUAGAAUUAGUUGACAAGAUGACAUUGAUGAAGUAAGGAAAAAGGUAAUAACUUUCGGAUUGAUGAGAAUAGUGUCAUGAGGAGUCAUGAUCAAGUUUGUAUUCCCGAUGUUUCAGAUUUGAGAAAGAGAAUUUUGGAUGAAGGGCAUUGUAAUGGUUUGAGUAUACGUCAUGAUGCUACUAAAAUGUAACAAGAUUUGAGGAAAAUGUUUAGUAGUAAAGUAUGAAGAGAGAUAUGGCGGAAUUGUGUAUUUGAGUUGGACUUUUCAGAAACCGUUUAGUUGGUGAAACAGUUAUCCUAUUAGAGUGGAAGUGAGAUAGUAUCUCUAUGGAUUUUGCUUCGGGUUGCUGAAAACAUCGAGUAAUUGUGAAAUGAUUUAGGUCAUUGUGGAUAGGUUGACGAGAUGCGCUUAUUUUAUUCCAGUGAGGAUGGAUUGUCGGAUAGAGAGACUUGCUAAGUUUGACAUCGAGAGAACGGUGUGUUUGCAUGAUAUUCCAUUCGAGUAUUGGAGCGGCAUCCUUGAAAGCUUGUAUGGUUGAAUAUAUGACACGUUUUGUAUUGGUAUGAAUCGGGAGAGAGUAAGUGUGGUUUCGGUGUCGAAAUGGUUGUGUCGAUUGAAUUUUCGAGGACGAAAAUAUUCUAAGUGGGGGAGAGUUGUAACAUCCCGAUUUUUAUUAAUAUUUUUAUUAAUUAUAUUAUUUGGUGUUUUUAAUAAUUAUUUUCUUAAUUUAGUCAUUUUUGACGUUUAUUGAGAUUUUCGCGUUUUGGGACGAUUUAGUCGGUAUUAGUUCGGGAUAGCGGAUCGAUAUUUAAUCGAAAAUUUUAAUAUUUUUAGUAUUAAAAGUAUUAAUUAGUUAAUAUUUAGCGUUUUGAGAAUUUUCUAAGUAAUUAAGAUUAGACCGGAAAUAUAAGACAUUGAGUUAUUAGAGGAUUUUAUCCGUAUUUAUUUUAUUAUAUUAUUUUAUUUUAUUUGGUGUGUUAAUUAUUUAUUUAAUUGUUAUGUGAUAUAAUAAUUAAUUUAAUUAAUUAACUUGUGUGUAUUUGUGUUUAAUUAGUAGUAGAAUAAAUGAGAUAACAGUUAUUGGGCCUAAUUAGUUAGAAUGUGAGAUUAGUUGGGUUAAGCCCAAUAAGAAUAAAGAUAUUGAGGGUUUAGAGAAUAGAAACAUUAUUUUCAUUUUGUUCUUUGGCAAGAGUAGAGAAAGAGGGGAAGAGGAGCAAAAGAGGAGCAAAAGAGGGAGCUAUGGUUUUGAAGAAAUUAUCAAGAGGUUCUGGAGUUUAGUAGCUCGUGUGUGAUCUAGUCGGAGAUUCUUCCGUGUUUGUUGGAGAUUAGGUAGUGAGUCGAUGCUCUGGUCAUGUAACACUGGGUAGAUUAGUCGUGUUGAACUCAUGUUUCUAUUUGGUUAUGUAUUAUGUUUAUGACUUGAGAACUUGUUAUUUGGCUACUUGUUGUUUGAGAGGUUUUCCAGCCAAAUAUUCUAAAUUAUGUUUUUAAUUUAUAUUGAUAUGAUUAUUGAGACUUGAUCAUGGUAUGAGACAUGGAUCAUUUUAUGAAACACAUGAGUAUUUAGUAGUUUCCGCUGUGAAUGCAUAUUCUGGAUAAAAUAUGAUUAACUGAGAAGUGUUAUUUGAAAUGACCAGGUGUAUCAUAUAUUGUAAGUAAAUGCUGUCGGUUUUUAAAGGUUUUUAGUUUUUGAAAACAUCGAUGUGACGCCCUUUUAUUAUAUGCAUGCUUAUUCUCUGAUUAUAUGCUUAUUUAUUUUGGGGUAUAAAAUGGGUGUUACAUCAUCCAAUUCAGCUACACACUUUCUAUAUUCCUUCUUGUCUGCAUCAAGUUUUUUUUGCAAGAUCUUCUAUAUGUAAAGUCACUGUAAAUAUAGAUGGCACGUCUGAUAACCCAACAAAAAUUACAAUAAUGAAGAGUUUCUGUCUUUGACAAUCCUCAUAUUGUUCCAAUAUGUUAGGAUUGACAAAUAGGAUUGAAUUGGCUUGAGAAAUUGUAGCCUGGAUUGCUGCCUCCAAUAUGUUUGUCCGAUGAUUUCUCUUAUAGAAACUUGUUUGAGUAGGCUUUAGUUACAUUACAUUCGAUUGUCGUUGAUUUAUAGGCUAUAGCCAAAAUAGUGAUAUUUCCCGGUAGCUUAAUUGCAACUUCAAGAGGACAAAAGCUGCAAACUUCACCCCAACUAUACUUCAAUGAUAUAAGCUGCAACAAUCUAAUGAAAAAACACACCAAGAUUUCCCGGUAGCUGAAUUUGUGUGUUUUGUUUUUUUUGCUGUAAUUUUGUUGGUAACAGUUUUUCUAGUGAGUUAUGAAUUAUUUCAUUUGCUGUGGAACAAUACUGACUUUAUUAACUUUUGAACAUUUUUGCUCUUAAUAUGGGGUAACUUCUAGAGUGAGGCACUAACCAAAUCCCUCACCAUGUACCACAUUUACAAACCAUUAGAUUAAAUGAAUAUAUAGAUUUUAUUAUACACCACACCACAUUGGAUUGUAUUUUCUUUUUAACCUUUUUUUGAGUCUACUCUUCUCCGCCAUCGUAACUACUACCGCCACCAAGACAUUAACAUCAUCUUCUCUGCCAUCGUAACUACUACCACCACCAAGGCAUUAACAUCAUCUUCUCCGUCAUCGUAACUACUACCACCACCAAGACAUUAACAUUUAACAUCAUCUUCUCCGUCAUCGUAACUACUACCUUUUUUGAGUAUGCUCUUCACGCUAUUUCUACAUUUGUUGCAUUUUUCACACUAGUUUAUCAACUCAAAUUUUCUCUGGUUUUUUUCAACCUAGUAAAUAUGAUAUUUGUUUUCUUCUAAGAAGACAAUAAUGAGUUUUUGAGUUCUUCCAUAUUUACUGUGAUUCUGGUUGGAUCUAAGAUGGUGUUGGAAGUUAAGAUAAAUUGAUGUUGAAACGUUGGGAAGAGUAAAAGAAGUUGUUUUUUCUCCAAUUAAUUUGCUUAUAAGACUGGUUUUGCAAUUUAGUAAGGAUUAGUCCAACAUUUAUUGGGUUGUCGUUAGAUUAAUCUGAAUACUGGGAUAUAAAAGAGAUGGUUUUUUUAGGAGGGAGGGUUGAAAUGUGGAAUAUUUAUUGAUAUUAAAACACCACUGUUAAUGAUGGCGUUGUGGUGCUAGUUAUUGUAGAUAUAACAGUAGAGAAGAUGCAUGGUUCAUGUCUUCAUGAUAUAAGAGUGUUAAUUAAUAUUGGAGACUUAAAACAAAGAGGAAAGAUUGAUGAAAUAAUCUUAUGUGGUAUGGUCUAUGAUAAUAUAUAUGAACUCUUUUAAUCUAUUGGUUGUUAAAAGUGGUUCAUAGUGAGGGACUUAAUUAAUCCCUCAUUCUAGAAUUCACCCUUAAUA